rnacentral:lncRNA from 1 species
UUUCGCACGCAAUGUUUUAAUGAUGGUGCACUUAAAACUGCCCGAGUUAAAAUAGGAUCCAUAAUGCUCUUUAAAGGCCUUUUUCUGCCGUCUCACAUUCACCUGGAUUUCUCAGGUGCUUUAAAAAAGUCAAAAAUGAAGACAACUUGAUUAUGUAAACUUAAUGAAGCCAGCACAGCCACACGAGCAGCGCUGCAGGGUCUGGGUCCAUUGCAUCUCAGCUGCAGAGCAACACACAUUUAGAUAGAAACAUCCAGUUAAAACACUGCUGUACAAAGCAUUUUACAGCCUUUACAUGGAUUCCAAUUCAUCUCAGCCUGAAAAGCUCUUGAGUCUGUAUCAGAGGUGAACAAGGGAGCUUUUUAAAUUAACAGCCGUUUAAGACUGGAAGUCAGUGAGACGAUAUGUGAUGUGCCAAGAUAGAAAAGACCUCAGUCGUAAUGCUGUAUCCAGUUCACAGAAGGCUGCUGAGGCACCCUCAUGUAAUUCUUUUCUGGUAAAUAAAUUGUGUGGGAUCAUCUCAGGUAUUUUUCCACCUCCUGUGACUGUGAGCUUCCAGACUUUUGAUCUCUGAUGCCUUUAUUUCAGCUCAGCAGCUGUGUUAGGGAAGUGUAAGCACACACGCAAGCACACCAAGACUUCAGUCCAGAUGGCUUUGAGCGUGGACACCUCCUGCAGCACCAAGAUUUACAGGAGGUUGCAAUGCCAGGAUAUGGAGACAUCACACAGCAAGAGAAGGCACAAUAGGAAUAAACUAUUACAAAUGUUGGAUACAUUCCUGUUUAUCAGAAAGGAG